CAGUAGCCACGGGAAUACGUAGGUGGCAAGCGUUGUCCGGAAUUAUUGGGCGUAAAGCGCGCGCAGGCGGAUCAGUUAGUCUGUCUUAAAAGUUCGGGGCUUAACCCCGUGAUGGGAUGGAAACUGCUGAUCUAGAGUAUCGGAGAGGAAAGUGGAAUUCCUAGUGUAGCGGUGAAAUGCGUAGAUAUUAGGAAGAACACCAGUGGCGAAGGCGACUUUCUGGACGAAAACUGACACUGAGGCGCGAAAGCCAGGGGAGCGAACGGGAUUAGAUACCCCUGUAGUCCCUGUCUCUUAUACA
rnacentral:rRNA from 1 species